rnacentral:rRNA from 1 species
ACGGGUGAGUAACGCGUGGGUAACCUGCCUUAUACAGGGGGAUAACAGUUGGAAACGACUGCUAAUACCGCAUAAGCGCACAGCUUCGCAUGGAGCCGUGUGAAAAGAUUUAUCGGUAUAAGAUGGACCCGCGUCUGAUUAGCUAGUUGGUGAGGUAACGGCUCACCAAGGCGACGAUCAGUAGCCGGCUUGAGAGAGUGAACGGCCACAUUGGGACUGAGACACGGCCCAAACUCCUACGGGAGGCAGCAGUGGGGAAUAUUGCACAAUGGGGGAAACCCUGAUGCAGCGACGCCGCGUGAGUGAAGAAGUAUUUCGGUAUGUAAAGCUCUAUCAGCAGGGACGAUAAUGACGGUACCUGACUAAGAAGCCCUGGCUAACUACGUGCCAGCAGCCGCGGUAAUACGUAGGGGGCAAGCGUUAUCCGGAUUUACUGGGUGUAAAGGGAGCGUAGACGGUGAUGUAAGUCAGAUGUGAAAGCCCGGGGCUCAACCCUGGGACUGCAUUUGAAACUAUGUCACUAGAGUGCAGGAGAGGUAAGUGGAAUUCCUAGUGUAGCGGUGAAAUG